UGCCGGGGUAGUCUAGUCCGGAAAGGCGGUGGCCUUGAAAGCCACUGGUGCCCAGCACCUCAAGAGUUCAAAUCUCUUCCCCGGCGU
rnacentral:tRNA from 1 species